rnacentral:rRNA from 1 species
CGCGGCUGGACUAUUUAUUACCCUUGUCUUUUGCGCACUUGUUGUUUCCUGGGCGGGUUCGCUCGCCACCAGGACCACAAUAUAAACCUUUUUUAUGCAGUUGCAAUCAGCGUCAGUAUAACAAAUGUAAAUCAUUUACAACUUUCAACAACGGAUCUCUUGGUUCUGGCAUCGAUGAAGAACGCAGCGAAAUGCGAUACGUAGUGUGAAUUGCAGAAUUCAGUGAAUCAUCGAAUCUUUGAACGCACAUUGCGCCCUUUGGUAUUCCAAAGGGCAUGCCUGUUCGAGCGUCAUUUGUACCCUCAAGCUUUGCUUGGUGUUGGGCGUUUUUGUCCCCCCCAAAAAGGGGACUCGCCUUAAAAGGAUUGGCAGCCGGCCUACUGGUUUCGCAGCGCAGCACAUUUUUGCGCUUGCAAUCAGCAAAAGAGGACGGCAAUCCAUCAAGACUCCUUCUCACGUUUGACCUCGGAUCAGGUAGGGAUACCCGCUGAACUUAAGCAUAUCAAUAAGCGGAGGAAGA